GAAAAUUUAGUUUAUUUUAAAAUAAAUGCUUUGAAAGCAUUAGAAAGGAGAAAAUCCCUAAUUUUUA
rnacentral:tRNA from 1 species